GAUGCAGUAUGAGCUGCUUGUCUCAAGAUUAAGCCGAAAGCAUUUGCCAAGAAUGAGCUGCUUUCUUAAAUAUCUACUUGGAUAACUGUGGCAAUUCUGGAGCUAAUACAUGCAAGAAAGCCCGGACCUUAGGGAAAGGGCGCAUUUAUUAGACCAAAACCAAUCGAGCUUCGGCUUGUGUUUUGGUGACUCUGAAUAACUAAGUUGAUCGUACGGUCUUAGUACCGACGACGUAUUUUUCAAAUGUCUGCCUUAUCAACUUUCGAUGGUAGGUUAUACGCCUACCAUGGUUAUAACGGGUAACGGAGAAUAAGGGUUCGACUCCGGAGAGGGAGCCUGAGAAAUGGCUACCACAUCCAAGGAAGGCAGCAGGCGCGCAAAUUACCCAAUCCCAGAACGGGGAGGUAGUGACGAAAAAUAACGAGAUAGUCCACUAUGUGGCCUGUCAUCGGAAUGGGUACAAUUUAAAAACUUUAACGAGGAUCUAUUAGAGGGCAAGUCUGGUGCCAGCAGCCGCGGUAAUUCCAGCUCUAAUAGCGUAUAUUAAAGUUGUUGUGGUUAAAACGCCCGUAGUUGGAUCUUCGGCCUUGAAGCUCGGUAACUCGUAAGGGUUUAACUGAGUCUUCUGGUCUAAAUUUUAGUAUUCUCCUGAUGCUCUUUAUUGAGUGUCUUGAGUUGCUAGAACGUUUACUUUGAAAAAAUUAGAGUGCUAAAAGCAGGCUAUACGCUUGAAUAAAGUGCAUGGAAUAAUGGAAAUAGGACUUUAGUUUUAUUUUGUUGGUUUUCGAAAUUAAAGUAAUGAUUAAGAGGAACAGACGGGGGCAUUCGUAUUGUUGCGUUAGAGGUGAAUUCUUGUAUCGCAGCAAGACGAACAACUGCGAAGCAUUUUUGCCAUAAAAAGGGAGGAAUAAAAUUAUU
rnacentral:rRNA from 1 species